rnacentral:rRNA from 1 species
CAGCAGCCGCGGGAAUACGAAGGGUGCAAGCGUUACUCGGAAUUACUGGGCGUAAAGCGUGUGUAGGUGGUUGUUUAAGUCUGUCGUGAAAGCCCUGGGCUCAACCUGGGAAUUGCGAUGGAUACUGGGCGACUAGAGUGCGGUAGAGGAUAGUGGAAUUUCCGGUGUAGCAGUGAAAUGCGUAGAGAUCGGAAGGAACAUCUGUGGCGAAGGCGACUAUCUGGGCCAACACUGACACUGAGACACGAAAGCGUGGGGAGCAAACAGGAUUAGAUACCCCAGUAGUCCCUGUCUCUUAUAA